UACGGAGGAUCCGAGCGUUAUCCGGAUUUAUUGGGUUUAAAGGGUGCGUAGGCGGCUUAUUAAGUCAGGGGUGAAAGACGGCAGCUCAACUGUCGCGGUGCUCUUGAUACUGACGGGCUUGAAUGCCGUUGAAGAUGGCGGAAUGAGACAAGUAGCGGUGAAAUGCAUAGAUAUGUCUCAGAACCCCGAUUGCGAAGGCAGCUGUCUAAGCGGUAAUUGACGCUGAUGCACGAAAGCGUGGGGAUCGAACAGG
rnacentral:rRNA from 1 species